UGCGCAAGAGGUCCUCCUCUUGUGCAGCUUUCUAUGUAUGCUCCUCCUAUGUAUGCGUACAUAGUCAUACAUUUGACUGUAAAUGAGCACCACUUAAACACUCGGCCUGUUCCUCCAACAUGCAGAACUCCACUACAGAUCCAGGGUCUGCAGUCACGUGUGUUUGUCCAUCAGUGUUCUUCUAUCUCUCUGCUGUCUGGAAGAUGAUGACUUCUGUUUUCUCCUCUGAGGAAAUGGAUCGUCAGUCUCUGGAUGUUCCUCUCUCUGUAGAGGAGACCCGACCAGAACCGGCCCAGAGUUCAGUGCAGCCAUGCAGUGAUGGAGAAAGUUACUUUUAAAAAUGUUAAGGCCAGAAGUGAAAUGAAUAAUCCUCAGGCUGAAGGAAAUAUAAUUUCACAGCUGUACAGUAGAGGGCGCUGCUCAAACAAACCUUUCAUCUGCUGCUGAAGAAAGAUCUAAACUCUUAUUUUAGCAAUAAAAAUAAUAAUAAUAAAAAAAGAAACACAAAUAUGA